rnacentral:rRNA from 1 species
UACAGAGGUCCCAAGCGUUGUUCGGAUUCACUGGGCGUAAAGGGUGCGCAGGUGGGUUUGCAAGUUCGAUGUGAAAGCCCCGGGCUUAACCCGGGAAUGGCAUUGGAUACUGCAGAUCUGGAGGAUCGGAGGGGGGACUGGAAUUCUUGGUGUAGCAGUGAAAUGCGUAGAUAUCAGGAGGAACACCGGUGGCGAAGGCGGAUCUCUGGGCCGAUACUGACGCUGAGGAGCGAAAGCGUGGGGAGCGAACAGG